UAUCAGUUUUGAAAUUGCAGAAGGGCAAUCAAAUGCCUGAAGAUUACCCCAGAUCUUUUAGAGAAGCAGCUGCAAUUUUCCAGCAUGCUCAAGUGAAUUUAGGAUGGAACUGAUGAAUUAAAUACUUAUCUACACAAGUAUCGCAUAGAGUUGGAUCAACAUCUUGGUGCUCUUGUGGGGAGAUAUAUAAGGAAGCUGAGAAGUUUGCUUAUUAGAAUGGAGCAAAGGUGGCUGUUGUUUAUGGUGGAGCGCCAAUGGGUCAGCAGGUUUGGGUCUCUGCAAGCUCACUGGCCAUUCCGUUUUCUAUGACCACUUCUAUGAUUCGGGUGAUUCCAUUCAUGAUCAGAUUGUGAAA